rnacentral:lncRNA from 1 species
AUAUGGUUUAAUGAAUUCAUUUAUACUUUAUCAAUCACUGCAUGUACAUAUCCUUUGUGUUUCAAAUGCUAUUCUUAAGUAACAAGUUAUUGAAAAGCAAGUAAAGUAUUUCCAGUAACUUUACACAAAAUGAGUUGCUGUAUUUCUUGCUUUCAGUUCAAUUACUUCAGAUGAUCUGUAAAUUUUCAAUAAUGGCAAUACAUUCAUUCUGCCAUUUGGAGGAGCCUGUGCCACAGAAUAAUGAUCUGAAGAAAGCUCACUCAUUUGCAAGGAAGAGACUUCAUUUGGGAAUUAUCACUGAUGCAGCUCAUGGGUGUUUUUUCAAGUCCAGGUCCUUGACAUUCAGUGGGAUGACAAUCUCAGAACUGACUACUGGGGACUCCCAAGCUACAGAUCAGUGCAGCUGGAAUUGGCAGAUGCUUUUUCAAACAACCAAGCAAAGUGCAGGUGUGGGUUGCUUGUCAGAAAUCCGUUCUGAAGCUUGAGUGCAAAGGAAGCAGGGUACUAAUGAUGAAUACGAAUGGAUUUCUUGAGGAUAACAAUGGAUCUUCAAAAGCAGUGGCAUUCUGGUUGCCUCAGUUUCUUCUCCUGAGUCUCAGAAAUCUGGAAUAG